rnacentral:rRNA from 1 species
UGCCAGCAGCCGCGGUAAUACGGAGGGGGCGAGCGUUAUUCGGAAUUACUGGGCGUAAAGGGUGCGUAGGCGGCCCAUCAAGUUAGACGUGAAAGCCCCGGGCUCAACCUGGGAAUUGCUAUUGAUACUGCCAGGCUCGGAUCGGCGCGAGGCAGGCGGAAUGUGGCAUGUAGCGGUGAAAUGCUUAGAUAUGCCAUAGAACACCGAUUGCGUAGGCAGCUUGCCAGAGCCGUAUCGACGCUGAGGCACGAAAGCGUGGGGAGCGAACAGGAUUAGAUA